rnacentral:rRNA from 1 species
UGGCGGCAGGCCUAAUAAUGCAAGUCGAGCGGAAACGAAGAGGUGCUUGCACCUCUGGCGUCGAGCGGCGGACGGGUGAGUAAUGCUUGGGAAUAUGCCUUAUGGUGGGGGACAACAGUUGGAAACGACUGCUAAUACCGCAUAAUGUCUACGGACCAAAGUGGGGGACCUUCGGGCCUCACGCCAUAAGAUUAGCCCAAGUGGGAUUAGCUAGUUGGUGAGGUAAUGGCUCACCAAGGCGACGAUCCCUAGCUGGUUUGAGAGGAUGAUCAGCCACACUGGGACUGAGACACGGCCCAGACUCCUACGGGAGGCAGCAGUGGGGAAUAUUGCACAAUGGGCGCAAGCCUGAUGCAGCCAUGUCGCGUGUGUGAAGAAGGCCUUCGGGUUGUAAAGCACUUUCAGUAAGGAGGAAAGGUUAAGUGUUAAUAGCGCUUAGCUGUGACGUUACUUACAGAAGAAGCACCGGCUAACUCCGUGCCAGCA